CAGUCGCCGCGGUAAAACGAGGGGUGCAAGCGUUAUUCGGAUUGAUUGGGUGUAAAGGGUGUGCAGACGGCUUAUCAAGUCACUUGUUAAAUUCUUCGGCCUAACUGAAGGUCUGCAAGUGAUACUGAUGAGCUAGAGGGUGGAAGAGAGAAGUGGAAUUCUCGGAGUAGCGGUAAAAUGCGUAGAUCUCGAGAGGAACACCAAUGGCGAAGGCAGCUUCUUGGUCCAUUACUGACGCUGAGGUGCGAAAGCGUGGGGAGCAAACAGGAUUAGAUACCCCAGUAGUCCCUGUCUCUUAUAC
rnacentral:rRNA from 1 species